rnacentral:rRNA from 1 species
AUGUACAUCCAGUUGAUCGGACUGGGUGGACUUCUCAAGACACUUAGCAUCAAAAUUAGACGUGUACUGUGCAUGGCCAUCGCUAAUUCAUAUGAUGCAGAGCAGGAUGCCUUUAUCAUCAAUGGAAGACCAUGUAGGAUCAAACUAGAAGAUGUAUCGCAUAUAACAGGCACGCCCUGCCAUGAGAAGAAGCACGUCCCUUCAGAUCUUGAUGAUAAUAUGGAGUUGUGGAAGAAACUAACGCUUGACUAUCUUAUGGAUAGCGUGAAGAAUUUUGUAAAUGGUGAGGCAAUUCUAGAGGGGAAUCUAUCACUGCCGCAGAUAAAGGUACUCAUCGGACGUGUAUUGACUGAUUUGCAAGAAGUUGCCUCCCUCGUGCGGGAGGCCGGUGCAGAACAAGUCGAUAGGAUGUGCACCCUUGAAAAAAAAAUUGAUGAGUCCCUUAGGCGUACCCGUACAAAUGGCAAGCUCACAGAGGAUCUCAUCAAAGAAUUGAACAAAAAACGCGAUGGAAUAUUUCCAGGAGUGGAGGACAUACAUCUUUCUGACCUCGGGGCACCUUCACACCCAAUGGAGGCCUCUGUUGAGAAUGUUGAGCAGGCUUCUGACAGGGGAAACAAAAUGAUGACACGGAGGUCGCUGCUAAGCACCAUUAAAUAA